AUAUUUUCAUUCAUGACGCUUUUUGACAGCUUGAAAUCAGAAUCGUAAAUAAAUUUGUAUUUACUACAAAUCUGGACAAACUGAAGACGUUUAAAGUGAAAAUAAACUAGCUUAUUUCUGAUGUUUACAUUUACGAAAAUCUAAUUACAUCGAUAAAGAUACUUGUGUUGGCGGCUACAGACUGACAAAAUGCUGGAAAUGAGCUUGAUGGACAUGGUCCUCGCUACAUUAGGUGUUUUGAUCACAAUGGCUAUGAUUUGCUGUUUAUGCUGCAUGUGUAUGAAGUUUAGUGACUUGAAAAUGAAGUGCUAUCUAAUGGAGCUAGCAAGGAAAAAGGGCAUCCAGGUAGAUCUAGACAACUUACACGAAAAACCUCAUUGCCGGUCGCCGCACGCUAACGAAAAUUGCACCAUCAUGGUACCCGAUGUCGGUAUAAUUCUUUAGCUCUCACUAUUAUUAUUAACUAAAGACUUUUCAUUUAAAUGUUACGCUAAGUAUUGUUAUUUUUAGGUAAAAAAAGAUCUGUUGGUCUUCGCGUUGUGGAUUAUUCACAAUUUUUAUAUUAUCUUGUUUACAUGCCAAAGAUUUAUUGAAAUUUAUGUUUAACUAUUUAAAAGUAUUGAUUUAAGGAAAAGUGAGAUCUGAGGGAGUCUUUGCCUUGUUGAUCAGUAUUCAUAAUUAUAUGAAACCUGUUCAUAAAAUGCUGUAGCAUUCUGUGUGAUACGUAUUGGGAAUUGAUCUCUAUUGUAAUGUGCAUUUAAUGAUAUACUUGAACGUAUAUUGUCUAAAUAGGUUGUUAACGAGUCUGUGAACUUUAGGUAAAAUAUUUUUCCUAAUAAAGCUUGAUAAAGAGACUCAGUGUGAUUUAAACGUGAAAUGAGAGUGACUUUAACAUCAUGUAAAUGUCUUUUUCUUAAAUCUGAGGUGAAAUAGCAGCUUAUUUAGAAAAAAGUCCUUGAUUACUACAUAUCUGCCGUGCUAGCGAUAUGAGCAGGAACUCCAAAAUUUUGCUUUUAAAAAAAAUCCUGUCAGCUUAUUUGAAAUAUCACAUAAGCUCAUUAUAGUUUUGCCAAAAAUGGAGUUACUGCUGAUAUCGCUAGCACAGCAGAUAUGUAUAUAUAUGUCUUGGAACCUCUUAGAAAUCUUUUUCUAAGUUUUUUUUAAUACUUUGUAUGUUUUCAGAAAAAAGUAUAGUAAGGGAUGUAUAGUAAGGGAAUGACAUUCACAAAUGAGAGAAACAAGGUCCAUUAAGUUUACAGAAUAAUAAGCGUGUUACAUUUGUGAUAACAUUAUUUUCGAAUACUGUUUAUGAAACUUUUUAUACCUUUUCAUUGUCAAUACUUAUACUGAUAUACUUACUUAAAACUAUAGAUCUAGUUCUAGAUAUUUAAACUAUACAUAACUUUUGAUUAUAUUAAAUGAGAAAAAAUGAUAAAAUAAGAGAAGAAUACUCCAUUUUGUGACUUAAUUUAAUGUGCUUUGUUUGUCACAUAUUUAUCAUUUAUCAUAGUCAAAGGUCUGUUUAACCAAUAAUAUUUUUAUACAGUCUGAUAUAGAAAAUCCUGAUCAGUCAAUUUCUAUAGCUACAAGCAAGCUACAAGCUGUAAAGCUUAGAAAAAUUUAAAGCAAAUGUAAUUAUCAAUAGAGAGAAAUAUUUUAAUUAACUACUACAUAAUUAUUAUGUCUACAUAGUUGUCUGUCUAUACAGGUUGGUCUCAAUUUUUGAUACUCUAUGGCUAGAAACUCAAAAAAUUCAAUUCAAUUUCAACAACAAAUUGUGGCUUUUGAUUUGAUGAAUAUAUUAAUUUGAACCAAUCACAGGCACAGGAGAGAAUCUAUGAGUGAGAUUUAGUUACAUAUUGUUAAUUGACGACAAACACCCUGUAUUGGACCUACAGUAACAAGCAAUAAAGAAUGAACAUCGACCUUUCAAACUACAUAUUAAGCUUUUUGCUCUGGAUUCAAUCCAAAUAGAUUAAAUAUUUUUUUACGAUCAUUACAUAGGUACUUAGUGCCUAAUAAUGAUACAGUAUGACAUUGCUAAUAUGUGCACUGCACACAUGAUCACACAUCUUGUCAGAAUAGUGGUUUUCAAGAAUAACUUAUUUUCAAAAUCUCAAUAUUUUAUACAUCCUGUAAUAUUGACAAGUAAUAGUUUUCUAGAAUAUAAUAUUAAUUUAUACUUUAAGUAAGCGUCUAAAAAUAUAGUGACAUUUCUUAUUACGCGUCCGCACACUGGUUAAAUUUAUUUGCACCAAUUAGCUUUGAAAUUGGCUAAGCCCCGGUUUCCACCAAGGCGGAGCGGAGCGGAGAAGUGUCGGGCCGUCAA